rnacentral:tRNA from 1 species
GGGCCCGUAACUCAGACGAUCCGGGUCGAACCGAAAAUCGGAAGAGUCAGGUAGAGUGGCAGGCUCUUAACCUGUUCGCCAUGGGUUCGCACUGUCCGCAACGGACGUUGGCCCAAAAAUCCCACCGGGCCCG